rnacentral:rRNA from 1 species
GAUGAACGCUGGCGGCGUGCCUAACACAUGCAAGUCGAGCGGCAGCGCGGGGUGCUUGCACCCUGUCGGCGAGCGGCGGACGGCUGAGUAGCGCGUGGGAACGUGCCCCAAAGUGAGGAAUAACUGCCCGAAAGGGUAGCUAAUACCGCAUAUUAUCUUCGGAUCAAAGGAUUUAUCCGCUUUGGGAGCGGCUCGCGUCGGAUUAGGUAGUUGGUGAGGUAAUGGCUCACCAAGCCGACGAUCCGUAGCUGGUCUGAGAGGAUGACCAGCCAGACUGGAACUGAGACACGGUCCAGACUCCUACGGGAGGCAGCAGUGAGGAAUCUUCCACAAUGGGCGAAGGCCUGAUGGAGCAACGCCGCGUGCAGGACGAAGGCCUUCGGGUUGUAAACUGCUUUUAUAAGUGAGGAAUAUGACGGUAACUUAUGAAUAAGGAUCGGCUAACUACGUG